rfam:Steinernema glaseri strain NC unplaced genomic scaffold GLAS_2269, whole genome shotgun sequence.
CCAACCGUAGCUCAGUUGGUAGAGCGGAGGACUGUAGUGUUGUCAGAGAUCCUUAGGUCGCUGGUUCGAAUCCGGCUGGUUGGA